UGAUGAGUGACUACAGCUUUAUUUACACAUAUAACCUAUACAUCGAAAUUGGGAAGCAAAGGAGAGAGAGGACCACUGAAGGUCUGAGUGGAACCAAAGGAGACAAGCUCACAAACAGUGAGGGAUGAAUGUCAAUCUCCUGGACAGCUUCUCAGCUUUUUGGCCCAGAAGGACCUCAUCCAAACUGUUCCUGAGGCGACAAAGUUACUCCAGCUAGUGCUCACUGUUCCAUCUACUACAGCAUCGGUGGAGCGGUCAUUCUCAGCACUGAAAAGAAUCCAAACAUACAGUCGGAACAGGACCGAUCAAGGACGACUUUCUUCCCUGGCAGUGAUCUCCAUCGAGACAGAGAGACUUUUAAAACUGAAGAAAGAUAAGGAAGACUUCUUUAAACAAGUUAUCGAUGCUUUUGUUCAGAAGGAGCGGCGCAUGGACUUCAUUUAUAAGUAAAGGGCUUCCAAGGAAGAGGUGGACCCAAAGGAGACUUUGGAGACCCUGGUGUGGAGGGGCUGGCUGGUGAGAAAGGUGAAAAGGGUAUGUCUGGAGAAGCUGGCCCUAAAGGACAGAGUGAGGGGAGACCUUGGACAUAACGGUCCAACUGGAGACUCUGGGAAGCCAGGUGAUCUAGGACCCCCUGGACUGCCUUUUCUCGGGGGUUGAACGGCAUGAGAGGAGUGCCUGGCAGGACGGGUA